GUUAUACGUCCCUUGGGAAAAGGGCAAAGACCACCGCCCUAAUAUUACGUAGCCAACAAGCUGGCAGCUGGCAUUCUAUGACGGUUCUAUCAUCCCUAUAAAUUCCUAAAACCCUAUCUACCUCCUCUGCACCGUGCCUUCGUUUUCGUCCCUCUGAGAACGCUGUUCAUUCCUCUUCCUAAAAUGGAAUUGGUUAUCAGUGGUAGGCCACCAUCUAGAUUAGAGUAUAAAUCUGCAAGGAUCGGAUCUGGUGCGUGGAGGAGCAAAGCAAGGGGGUUUACUGAAAGGCGGAUAAGAAACAGAGGCAGUGAAGGCAUAUCCGGAAACCAACUAUGAAAUGGGGACAUAAUCUGCGUUGGCUGUUUUAAUAUAAUCCUAUUGGAACGGAACUGAAUGGAGUUAUAAAACAGUUAUAAUGUUCAAUUAUUUUUUCUGUGUGACAAAAUCUUUCUAUUUCAGGCUUAAAAAAGAAAAAGAGAAAGAAAAGAUGGGUUCUUUCUGCAGAUCCAAUCUUCAUCUUUUUAGUAGUAUUUUUAAAAUUCAUUUAGAUGUUGCAACUGCGAUCUGCAUGUAUGUGCUUUAAUGUUUGUCUUAGCUUUUCGGCUGAGUUAAUCUGCUUUUGUUUUAA